GACGAACGCUGGCGGCGUGCUUAACACAUGCAAGUCGAACGCUGAAGCUCAGCUUUUGUUGGGUGGAUGAGUGGCGAACGGGUGAGUAACACGUGAGUAACCUGCCUCCUUCUUUGGGAUAACGCCCGGAAACGGGUGCUAAUACUGGAUAUUCACUGGUCUUCGCAUGGGGGUUGGUGGAAAGGGUUUUUCUGGUGGGGGAUGGGCUCGCGGCCUAUCAGCUUGUUGGUGGGGUGAUGGCCUACCAAGGCUUUGACGGGUAGCCGGCCUGAGAGGGUGACCGGGCACGUUGGGACUGAGAUACGGCCCAGACUGGUACGAGAGGCAGCAGUGGGGAAAAUUGCAGAAUGGGCGCAAGGCUGAUGCAGCGACGCCGCGUGAGGGAUGGAGGCGUUCGGGUUGGGAACCUCUGUCGCUCAUGGUCAAGCCGCAACAAUGGUUGUGGUGAGGGUAGUGGGUAAAGAAGCGCCGGCUAACUACGUG
rnacentral:rRNA from 1 species